GAGCGNAACCCACGUCNUCAGNUGCCAUCAUUCAGNUGGGCACUCUGGGGAGNCUGCCGGUGAUAAGCCGNCGAGGAAGGUGUGGAUGACGUCAAGUCCUCAUGGCCCUUACGGGAUGGGCUACACACGUGCUACAAUGGCGGUGACAGUGGGACGCGAGACCGCGAGGUUGAGCAAAUCCCCAAAAGCCGUCUCAGUUCGGAUUGCACUCUGCAACUCGAGUGCAUGAAGGUGGAAUCGCUAGUAAUCGUGGAUCAGCAUGCCACGGUGAAUACGUUCCCGGGCCUUGUACACACCGCCCGUCACAGCCAUGGGAGUUGGUCUUACCCGACGGCGCUGCAAUAACCCGNCGAGGGGGCAGGCGACUCUUAGAGUUNUCCCGGCUACA
rnacentral:rRNA from 1 species